UUUGUCACAAGCCAUGGCCUUCAGAUCAGAUGAGGUGCAUUGAAAAUAAUACUUGCAGCAGGAUCAGAGCCAGAGGACCAUAAAAGCAACGUUCACAAGGAAAAGAUUCUCUGAUUUCUUUCAUGUCCAAUAAUCCAUUGACCUCACUCCUGAAAGCAAAGGAUUCUAAAGACACCUUGCUCUGUAUGUCAAUAAAUUCCUCCUCAACCAAGACCUAAAUAGCCAGUUCCUUAACCAUC